UCGGGAAUAUUGCGCAAUGGAGGAAACUCUGACGCAGUGACGCCGCGUAUAGGAAGAAGGUUUUCGGAUUGUAAACUAUUUUAGACAGGGAAGAAAAAAGACAGUACCUGUAAAAUAAGCUCCGGCUAACUACGUGCCAGCAGCCGCGGUAAUACGUAGGGAGCAAGCGUUAUCCGGAUUUAUUGGGUGUAAAGGGUGCGUAGACGGGAAUACAAGUUGGUUGUGAAAUCCCUCGGCUUAACUGAGGAACUGCAACCAAAACUAUAUUUCUUGAGUACUGGAGAGGAAAGUGGAAUUCCUAGUGUAGCGGUGAAAUGCUUAGAUAUCACGCAGAACUCCAAUUGCGAAGGCAGCUUGCUAAACUAUAACUGACACUGAGGCACGAAAGCGUGGGUAUCAAACA
rnacentral:rRNA from 1 species